UUUUUUUUUUUUUUUUUUUUAGAGACUGGGUCUCACCAUAUUGCUCUGGCUGGUUUCAAACUCCUGGGCUCAAGCGAUCCUCCUGCCUCAGCCUUCCAAAACCAGGUGUUUAACUUGGGACUAACAUGAAGCACUUAGAAGACUACGUGGAACAUAGCAAUGACUAUAUAUGUACUACAACGUAAACAGCACCUCCUGGAUUGAAUAGAACAUAACUGACAUGACCAGCAGAGACAGGCUAAAGACACUGAGCUGAAAACCCUGGACUCUAUUGCUAAAUUGAGGCUCCUGAAUCCGUUCGCUCUGAGCAACUGUUGCUGUGGUGCUGCCUUCACAAGCACUCUGCUGAGCACUCAGAUAGAGGGGCUGUGCUAUCCGUCAACAGACAAGCUGCAGCCAGAACUGCUCAGCUGACAAACUGGUAGAGGUCCAGAAACACAGUUCUGCUGCAUAGUGAAAAAAGGCCAAUUUAGAUUCUUUUUCAUAGAGAGAAAAACAUAAACAUGUGAUUGAACGAGUCUCCUGUAUUAGACUAAUUGGGUUGGCUUUGAUAUUUAAUUGCUAAAAAUACACUUAGAAUAUAAACCUUACUGUGUCAAGGUCUCAAAGAAUAAAUAAUUGGUAUGGUAUAAAGAAGUAUUGAAUUCUAUGCUACAAACUUCUAAGCUAAAAUAUUUUCAAUGUAUGCAAGGAUAGGUGACAUACAUAUUAGAUACUAUUCCCCCAUUAAGCAAAUUUAUAAUGAGAGAAAAUUAUCUUCCAUAAAAAAAUAAAAGCCAUGUAAAAUUAAGGACUAAGUUUUUCUGCACAGACUAGACAACGAUUGCUAACACAUAAGGUCAAAGAGAGAACAGUCAGAGAAAGCUUCAUGAAAACAAUAAAUUGUCUGCCACGUCUGAGUGAAUGAGGCUAGAUGAACAGAAACUGAGAAGGCAGAAAGGAUAGCAUGAGCAAGACAAGUGCUGAAAUCUGCCCAAUUAACUCUGAGGAUAAAGUCCAAUGGCAGGGAAAUAAAAACCCGUGUCCACAUAAUAACCUGUAAGUGAAUGUUCGCAGCAGCAUUGUUCAUAAUAGCUAAAAAGUGGAAACUAACUUAAAGGUCCAUCAACUGAUGAAUGAAUGGAAAACCAGUAUAGCCAUGGAAUAGUACAUCAUUUAACUAUAAGAAGAAAUAAACUACUCAUGUGUGCUAAAACAUGCAUGAAUUCUGAAAGCAUUAUGCUAAGUGAAAAAGCCAGUCACAAAGGACUACAUAUUGUAUAACGCUAUGUAUACGAAAUAUACAGAACAGGUAAAUAUAUGGAGACAAAAGUAGAUAGAUGGUGGUUGCCUACAACAGAGGUAGGUGGAGGGACAUGGAGGAAGGCUGCAGUCAUGCCUAGGAGAUGUGGGGUUGCUUUUCAGGGUGAUGAAAAUGCUGUGAAUAUACUAAUAGAUACUCAGUUGUACAUUUUAAAUGGUUGAACUCUCUCAAAUGUGAAUGAUAUCUCAGUGAAACUGUUUUUAAAAUCCAAAGGCAGGAUCAAGAUAAUUUUCUCAACUCUCAAUUUUUGACUUACAUGCUAUAUCAAAUCUAAAUAUUUUUAGAGUUUUAUAGUAUAUUUUAAAUUAAAGAUAAAGAAAAUGCCUAAAUUUUCAAAUAGUUUGUAAAUUAACCUAAAACAUGCACAUUUCAAAGAAUAGUAUAAUGGCCUUUCUGUACAAGUUAACCUGCAAUCUGUGAAAUAAAUAGACACAGAUUCUGUGUCCAUUCACGAAAGUGAAGAAAUAAGACAACUUUCUGGAACUUUCCAUGAAAUAUUCUCCUCUGAUUUAAUCUGGCCUGCCUCAUCAGAACAAUACAAAAAUUACUUAAAAAUACUGUUUUUACAGGAAAAAAGUAAGUUUUCUAUGAGGAAUGAUAUAUAAUUCUCCACUUUUCCAAGGGUACAUAUUGUAACAGAAAAGGUAUGCAAUGGUUUUUCAAAAUGGUAGAAUGAAAGUCACAAUAUAAAAAAAUAAGUACAUUAUAAAGAUAGUAAAAUGGAAAUAAUUCAUUGUAAUGAAACUAAAAAAUCAAGCUUCUGCCAAAAUUAGUAUCCUAAAACACGUUAUAUAAACUCAACUAGCUACAGAAUAAGAGUUGACAUGUUAAAUUCCAUACACACUUGACUUUUCACUUGAAAUAAUUUCUUCUUUGGGGCCUGUGUCUCAUCCAAAUUAAUGUGAUAAUGUGACAUACCUUCCAGUGGAGACUCUAACGUAGUUAAUAUUUUUAGGCUGUCAGCCGCUUCUUGUUGAAGUUGUCUCACAACCACCUGAGAAAAUAUUUUUGUUACUGAUUUUAUAAAUUGCCUUAUUAUUAAAUUAUGUUAAUAAUAUUUAACUCCCUGCCAAAUUGGUAUUCUCUUACUUACACAACAGGUUCAUCCCACCAUUCAAUCAUCUUAGAAGCUCAACUCAACCUCAAAGUUCCUAACAUAUUCAAUCACCUUUUCAAAUCCUUCCAACAGAUUCCUAUCUCAGGAUAAAAGUGAAAUUCCAAUGGCCUUUGAGGCCCUAGGUAAACAGUCCUCUACCUCCCUCUCUGACUUCAAAGCUCCUACAACUCCUUCCUGUAAUUACUCCAUUCCCACUGUACAUGAAGCCUGCCACCCCUCAGUCUGAAAAUGGGGAUCUAAUGCCUUACUCAUAAAUCACAGGCAGCUACAAGUAUCUUUGUACUGAACAAAAUUAUAUUCCAAUGAUAGUCAUUGAGCCUUGAAAUAAAAAUUAUGAGCUAAUUAUUAAUAUAAAUAGUCAAAGUAAACUAUAAAUACCAGUGGCAAAACUAAAUCAAACAUAGUUUUGCUAAUUAUUACAUUCAUUCUAAAUUAUGAUUUUAUGACAUGUAGGUGCCUUUACAACAUUACGUAGUCAUAAAAAUAUGUAAUUUGAAGUAUUUUCAGAUUUUUAAAAUUAAUAUGAAUAAUAACAAAGAUAUACCAAAAAAAAAAAACACAUAAAAAACUACUUAAAGCAAGGUAUUACAAGACACAGCAAUACACUUCAGUUCAUCUGGGAAGUCUAGAAUUAAGUGUCGAAGGAAAUCACUUAAUUAAAUUUUAAUUUGAAAAUACUCAUUUCAGGUGUAAACAUUUCCAUUUAUACCUACAUUAUGGUCUUAACAUGUGGCAACAUAAAGUCAUUAAAAUUAUUUCAGCAGUACAGAACUAUCUAUCUUAAAAUAUGACUCUGUGCCUAAUAAAAUUUCAUAGGUGACACAAUGUCUUUUCUCAAAGUAAAUCAUCUCUCAUCUCUACCUUUUAUUUCCUAGAAAUGAGGCAUGUUUCUAAGCUGAUAUAGUAAACACAUUUUUCCUUUUUUUAUUAAAACAGCUUUGUUGAAAUAUAAUUUACAUACUAUAGAAUGUAUCUGUUUUAACUUAAAGUUAAAAGAUUUUUAGUCCAUUUACUGAGUUGUGCAGCCAUCUCUACAAUCCAACUUUACAGCAUUUCCAUCACUGCAAGAUCCCUCAUGCCCAUUAGCAGUCACUACCAGCUUCUAGUCCCAGCCCUUUGCAAAUAUUAAUCUACUUUUUGUCCCUAUACGUUUAUCUUUUCUGGAUGCUUCACGUACAUGGAAUUAUACAGUAUGGUAAACACACUUUUUAUCUAUUGAUUUUUAUAUUCAACUAAGUUCAACAUGUAUCCAGAACCAAAUGUUUAAAUUUUCUUUCUAGAAGUUUGAAAAUAUUUAUCUUCCUUGAUACUUACUACUCUUUCUGCUUUCUCUCUCUCAUAUUGAAAGAGACUUUCUUUUAAAUGAUCACAUUCAUUCAUUACCUUCUUAUUUUUCUCUUCUAGCAUGAGGUCUUUCCACUCUCAAUAAAGCUUCUUUGGAUAUUAGUUAUUAUCUCUUUAUGAUACUCUUUCUGAUGAACAUCAUCUAGUUGCUGUUCAAUGCACGGAUUUUCAUGUUGGAGUUGACAUAUUCUCUCUUCUACACAGCUCCACUUUCCAGUGGAAUUAUUCUCUUUAGCUUCUGCAUUUUCAUACAUCUCUUUCAUUUCCUUUAUUUGCUGCUGUGUUUGGCUUAGGUUGUUAUGUACAGUUUCUAAAGCCAAUGACUUUUUUCUGAGAGUAUCUCUUGUCUUAAGGAACUUAUCUUUUAAGGUAUUGAAUUUAAUUUGUGGUUUAGAAAGUUGUUCAGUAAGAAACUCAUUCUUAUCUUCUACUUCGGAAAUAUCAGAACUCAUUUUUACUUGUACGGAAACAUCUUGAGUUCUCUCUAAAGCAAGUUUUAGGUUUCUUUCUGUUUUCACACUUUCACUGUGUUUACUUAUAGAAGCAGCCAGUCUAGACUGAUAAGAUUCAGUUUCAGCUUCCAGUCUUUUGUUGCUUUCUUCUUCCUUCAACAGUCCGGAACUGAGCCUUGUAUUCUCAGCUUUGAGAUCAUUAAGCUCUUGUUGAUACCGGAAUGCUGUUAUUGUUAUCAAUUCCUCAUUGAGUUUUAUAUACUUUUCAAGGACAGCAUUUGUUUCUUUAACAAUUUUAACUUCCUUAAGUUAUUUAUUUUCUUUUUCCAGGUUGUCAUUUUUCAUUGUGCACAUUUCCUGUCUGAAUAUAGCAAUAUCUGUAUUCAAAAUGCAAUUUUAAUCCAUCAGAUCUUUCAUUUCUUCGUGAUUAUGAAAAUCCUAAAUAAAACUAAAGAAAGUUUUAGCUAGUACUCAAUAAAAUAUCGUGAUUACCUCUGAAGUUAAAGAAUAACCUGCACAUCCAUACACUAAAAAGGUUACUGUAAGUGGAUAUCCAACUGGAGACAAAGUUGAAGCAACACUUUGAACCUUAUAGAGCAUAAAUUCCAAAAAGUUCAGAAAUUUAUUUAAAGUCAAUGAAUUUAUAAAAGUAAACACACACACACACACACACACACACACACACAAACCAGAGAAUUUUUAAGAAUUUCAGAAUUGGAAAAGCCUUUCCUUGAAUUACAACAAACUGAAAAGCAUAAAUUAAAGCAUUAACAAAUUUGACUAAAUUAAAAUAUAUCAAAAAAUUGCAUUUACACUUUGAUAUCUAACCCAUACAACACCCUAUAGUAAGAACCUUGGUUCACACGUAUUUGGACAGAUAAAAUUUCCCAGAGUUAUUACAGUUCUGUUUCGCUGAUAACAUUCUAUUUCAAUUUGACUCUUUUAACACUUUUAUAUUCAGUUGUAAGAAUUACAUUUACUAAAUCAUAAAUCUAGACAUUAUACUAGUCACUCCUAUAUACAUUCAUUGAUGAACUCAUCUAGUUAUCACAAUUUUGAAAAAGAAAUGUUAAAAAUAUAAGCAAGCUACAGGAUUUUCCCCAGGACUUCUGACUCUACUUCUAGUUCUCUGACAUAUCACAGUUACUUCUGUGGUGUAAAUAUAUCCAUAUGGAAGAAAACUUUUAUUUCAAAACACCAAUGGUAAAUAAGAUAAAAUUUAUAGAGCUCUUCUUAGAAUAUCAUGAGAUUAUUUGUGAUUGCAAUAAUUUGUUUCCUCUUUAUAAUAUUAGGUACAGUAAUCAAUAUGAAAUAGGGGAAAGUACAAGGAACAAUUUUACUGGGAACAGAAUCUUUAUCAAUAGGUUAUCACUAAGUAUAUACUAUGGCAUAUUAUUGUUUUCAAAAGCUCUUUGUUAUAAAAUAAUAUCUUAUGUGGAUGCCAAGAUUUAUAAUAAAUAUUAAUAAUUGUACCUGUAAGUGGCAUCAUUCAUUUUUUAAAAAUGAGAUAACAUUUCUGGUUUGUUUUAGAUCUAAAUAUUAUAUAUUAAAUCAAGAGAAUAUUAGAAGAAACUUUCAUAAAAUAGUUUAAAAUAUAGAAUUUUUACCAAAGAUUGAUUUAUCUGAUUUGGAGUAUUUCUUGCAGUCUUUGUUUUCAUCUCUAGUGAUUGAACAGUUGGUUCAAGUUGCUUUGCUUCAACUUCUUUCUUAUGUUGUUUCUCUUUCCUUUCUAAUUCUUCUCUAUUUUUUUGUACAGCAUAUUAACAUUUGUUUUUUCUUUAUUUUCUUAUCUUAAGAUGCAUCUGCAGAUAAAGACAUUUAUCUUAAAACUCAUUUUGUUAAAAAAUAAAGAGUUCAUCCUGUGAUCUACCUCUGCAGAUGCUCUUUAUCAUCCUAAUAAAAUUUCUGUGUUCUGAAUUAUUUUUCCUGUUUAGUUCUCAGAUAUUUAAUCUCUCACUUCAACAUCUUCAAAAGAAUGCAUAUACUUGAAAAGUAGUAAGGAAAGAAUAUUCUGCUGAAGUUUUUGUUACUAGUCACUCUAGCAUAUAUUAUAAAAAAGGAUACUGGAGAUAAUUCAGUAUAGUUAGAAUUUCAAAAUUACCUUUUCAAAUCACACAGUCAUAAUUACUCCCCGAUUAGAAAAGGUCAUUUACAAUCAACUAAAUUUUUAAAGUUACUAUUUAUUGACAAGCGUAUAAGUUCACUAGAAAUAAAUUUUCAUCUUUAUGAAAUAUUGCAGGUGUCUCUCCAAAUGAUUUACAGAGUAAGAUGUCUCUCACACAAACUAUAUCUGCAGAUGAUUGUCAACUAAAACUAGGCUAAAGGGUCUAACAUCUGUUACCCCACACUUUUUAUAAUUCUUUCUUAAUACUUCCAAUUCACCUU